UUAAGCGACUAAGCGUACACGGUGGAUGCCCUGGCAGUCAGAGGCGAUGAAGGACGUGCUAAUCUGCGAAAAGCGUCGGUAAGGUGAUAUGAACCGUUACAGCCGGCGAUGUCCGAAUGGGGAAACCCAGUGUGAUUCGUCACACUAUCGUUAACUGAAUACAUAGGUUAACGGAGGCGAACCGGGGGAACUGAAACAUCUAAGUACCCCGAGGAAAAGAAAUCAACCGAGAUUCCCCCAGUAGCGGCGAGCGAACGGGGAGCAGCCCAGAGUCUGAAUCAGCUUGUGUGUUAGUGGAACGGUCUGGAAAGUCCGACGGUACAGGGUGAUAGUCCCGUACACCAAAAUGCACAGGCUGUGAACUCGAAGAGUAGGGCGGGACACGUGGUAUCCUGUCUGAAUAUGGGGGGACCAUCCUCCAAGGCUAAAUACUCCUGACUGACCGAUAGUGAACCAGUACCGUGAGGGAAAGGCGAAAAGAACCCCGGCGAGGGGAGUGAAAAAGAACCUGAAACCGUGUACGUACAAGCAGUGGGAGCACCUUUAUGGUGUGACUGCGUACCUUUUGUAUAAUGGGUCAGCGACUUAUAUUCUGUAGCAAGGUUAACCGUAUAGGGGAGCCGCAGGGAAACCGAGUCUUAACUGGGCGUUAAGUUGCAGGGUAUAGACCCGAAACCCGGUGAUCUAGCCAUGGGCAGGUUGAAGGUUGGGUAACACUAACUGGAGGACCGAACCGACUAAUGUUGAAAAAUUAGCGGAUGACUUGUGGCUGGGGGUGAAAGGCCAAUCAAACCGGGAGAUAGCUGGUUCUCCCCGAAAGCUAUUUAGGUAGCGCCUCGUGAAUUCAUCUUCGGGGGUAGAGCACUGUUUCGGCUAGGGGGUCAUCCCGACUUACCAACCCGAUGCAAACUACGAAUACCGAAGAAUGUUAUCACGGGAGACACACGGCGGGUGCUAACGUCCGUCGUGAAGAGGGAAACAACCCAGACCGCCAGCUAAGGUCCCAAAGUCACAGUUAAGUGGGAAACGAUGUGGGAAGGCACAGACAGCCAGGAUGUUGGCUUAGAAGCAGCCAUCAUUUAAAGAAAGCGUAAUAGCUCACUGGUCGAGUCGGCCUGCGCGGAAGAUGUAACGGGGCUAAACUGUGCACCGAAGCUGCGGCAGCGACACUAUGUGUUGUUGGGUAGGGGAGCGUUCUGUAAGCCUGCGAAGGUGGCCUGUGAGGGUUGCUGGAGGUAUCAGAAGUGCGAAUGCUGACAUAAGUAACGAUAAUGCGGGUGAAAAGCCCGCACGCCGGAAGACCAAGGGUUCCUGUCCAACGUUAAUCGGGGCAGGGUGAGUCGACCCUAAGGCGAGGCCGAAAGGCGUAGUCGAUGGGAAACAGGUUAAUAUUCCUGUACUUGGUGUUACUGCGAAGGGGGGACGGAGAAGGCUAUGUUAGCCGGGCGACGGUUGUCCCGGUUUAAGCAUGUAGGCGGAGGUUCCAGGUAAAUCCGGUACCUUUUAACGCUGAGGUGUGAUGACGAGGCACUACGGUGCUGAAGUAACAAAUGCCCUGCUUCCAGGAAAAGCCUCUAAGCAUCAGGUAACAUUGAAUCGUACCCCAAACCGACACAGGUGGUCAGGUAGAGAAUACCAAGGCGCUUGAGAGAACUCGGGUGAAGGAACUAGGCAAAAUGGUGCCGUAACUUCGGGAGAAGGCACGCUGAUAUGUAGGUGAAGUCCCUGCGGAUGGAGCUGAAAUCAGUCGAAGAUACCAGCUGGCUGCAACUGUUUAUUAAAAACACAGCACUGUGCAAACACGAAAGUGGACGUAUACGGUGUGACGCCUGCCCGGUGCCGGAAGGUUAAUUGAUGGGGUUAUCCGUAAGGAGAAGCUCUUGAUCGAAGCCCCGGUAAACGGCGGCCGUAACUAUAACGGUCCUAAGGUAGCGAAAUUCCUUGUCGGGUAAGUUCCGACCUGCACGAAUGGCGUAAUGAUGGCCAGGCUGUCUCCACCCGAGACUCAGUGAAAUUGAACUCGCUGUGAAGAUGCAGUGUACCCGCGGCAAGACGGAAAGACCCCGUGAACCUUUACUAUAGCUUGACACUGAACAUUGAGCCUUGAUGUGUAGGAUAGGUGGGAGGCUUUGAAGCGUGGACGCCAGUCUGCGUGGAGCCAACCUUGAAAUACCACCCUUUAAUGUUUGAUGUUCUAACGUUGGCCCCUAAUCGGGGUUGCGGACAGUGUCUGGUGGGUAGUUUGACUGGGGCGGUCUCCUCCCAAAGAGUAACGGAGGAGCACGAAGGUUAGCUAAUCCUGGUCGGACAUCAGGAGGUUAGUGCAAUGGCAUAAGCUAGCUUGACUGCGAGCGUGACGGCGCGAGCAGGUGCGAAAGCAGGUCAUAGUGAUCCGGUGGUUCUGAAUGGAAGGGCCAUCGCUCAACGGAUAAAAGGUACUCCGGGGAUAACAGGCUGAUACCGCCCAAGAGUUCAUAUCGACGGCGGUGUUUGGCACCUCGAUGUCGGCUCAUCACAUCCUGGGGCUGAAGUAGGUCCCAAGGGUAUGGCUGUUCGCCAUUUAAAGUGGUACGCGAGCUGGGUUUAGAACGUCGUGAGACAGUUCGGUCCCUAUCUGCCGUGGGCGCUGGAGAAUUGAGGGGGGCUGCUCCUAGUACGAGAGGACCGGAGUGGACGCAUCACUGGUGUUCGGGUUGUCAUGCCAAUGGCAUUGCCCGGUAGCUAAAUGCGGAAGAGAUAAGUGCUGAAAGCAUCUAAGCACGAAACUUGCCCCGAGAUGAGUUCUCCCUGAGACUUUAAGUCUCCUGAAGGAACGUUAAAGACGAUGACGUUGAUAGGUCGGGUGUGUAAGCGUAGCGAUACGUUGAGCUAACCGAUACUAAUGAACCGUGAGGCUUAACCUU
rnacentral:rRNA from 1 species